CGGUUACAGGGGAUGUGCCUUGGAGCGGGUUGUUUUAGGUGGGAAGGGAUGAGUGAACCAAGGAGUUGCAGAAAGAGUGGUUUCUGCAAAAGACGGAAAGGGAUGUAGAUGGGAAAAUGUGCCUGGUGGUGGGUUCACGUUGGAGGUGGAGGAUAUUU